AGAACUUGUCUAUCGUACAAGGCAACUGUUACCUCAGUUGUGGAUUGGCUGUUUCACUCCUCGACUCUCUUUCCUAGUUUUAAGGUGAAAAACUACUUAAACGUGGGUGGAUAGCAUAAAAUUCAGACAACACCUACUUGUGCUAGAUUAGAUGCAGCCUAAACAGGCAGUUUUGGAUACCCGAUUCAAAAGAGCACAUUAGGAGCCGUUUUAGUCGGGCGCUUUUCCUCCUGUGCUUUCUGCCACGCUUAUUUUGAUGUUAAAAUAACUGGAAGAGUUGAAAAGUUAUGCCUGAGCUACACUGAAAACUUUUCCUGACGAGGUAUUUAUGUUUUUCUUGUACUUAGUUUCACCGGCUCUGCAUAGAAUUACAUAUUUACGUAUCCCAGUCAUUCUUGGCCUGUUUCUUUCUGCAAGUCAAACUAGGAAGAGAGUAGGCGCUGUUGCUAUUUCGUGGGUGUUUAAGAAUGAAAAUCAAAUGUAAAAAAUCUCGCUGAUUAUGUGACUUUAACUAUAAAGGAUACUGUCUUAUUAAUGCCAGUAUAUAUUCCACCAGUCCGUCUGUAUUUAGCUGUACCAAAUCUACAUGUAACAAGAAGAGAUAAAUCAAAUGGCUUUUAAGUAUGAAAUUAAGUGUUAAGAGCCAACAGUGAAAACUAGAUUAGAACCUAGUCACAUUUGAGUUUCUGAUGUGUUUUCUCAGCAAAUACAUUUUAAAUCUGUAGCUGUCAUUCAGCUUUGGCCCCGACAGACAAGGAAUUGGUGAAUUUUGCAUAGUACUAAUUCACUUUAGAUAUAGCAAAGCACCUAUCUAAUACAUGAGAUUUUCAAGCUUGAUUUUGUACAAAUAUAUUAUCAAAAUAUGUAUUUAUAAGAUAUGCUGUAAUCUGUUUUAUCUUUGAUUGCUUUAAAAUUAUAAUAAUACAAAUGAAAAAACUUAAAAAGUAAAUUCAUAUGAUUUUGAUACUCAUGAAAAUCAAAGAAAUUAUUUAUAACAUUUUGUUAAUAUAUAUAAAUAUAUAUAAUAACUCUACUGACACACACACACACACACACACAUAUAUAUAUAUAUAUGUAUAUAUAUAUAUAUAUAUAUAUAUAUAUAUAUAUAUAUGUCAGUAGAGUUAUUUUUCCAGUUAGCUUUAUUUCAUUAAUGGAAAAAUGUUAUAUUUGUUACAUGAUAAGGGAACACUUCUAAAUUUUAAGAGUGCAUUAAAAACCAUACAGAAACUAGCAUGUCUAGUGAAAUCACUUUAAAAUAUAUGAUUGCUUAGAAACAUAGAUUAAAAAAGGCAGCAACUGAUUGGAACAUUUUUCUCAAUCUGUACUUUGUAAAGUUUCAAACACCCAAAACACUGUAGUAUGGUAUUGAAAAUACACAGUCUCUACCCAAAAUUAAUUGCCUUUGUAUAUAGUUCAUCCUUCUUUCACACAAAUAUAAUGACAUUCUUAAAUUUUCAGCUUACAUCUCCUGGGCACCAGGCUAUUUUUUACAUAACUAUAGUGACAGAACCUUGAUAUAUAAAAACUAGCUACAAGAACAUCUAAACUAAUUUAUAGAUAAUUAGAACUAGAAGAUAAAAUUAAAAAGUACUUAUUUCCACAAUGACAUGUACAACUUUAAUACUUUAUUCCCUAAGUAUUUUCAGUUACUUUAAGUCUAAAUACAGACUUUAAACAUUAAUGAUGUGAUUAGAAUUUACUGGCAGGUUUUGAAAACAAAAACUAAAUUAACAGAUGAGUGUUUGAUUCUGAAACACUUUCAAAAUACAUGUACAGCAGCGCCCUCUACAUUUGGAUAGCUUAUGAUGAAACAGUUUUGUUUUGUUUUGUUUCUUAAGGAACUUUUGGAAGUGAUCACUGUAGCUUUGGGAUAAGGGAUGUGAUUGUAACGUAUAACACUGCAGGAGAUUUCUCAUAUGAGUCUGUGCUAUUUUAAUUGAGUGUAGAAAACCCAGCCUUGGAAACUUAAUAGCACACCAUUCAGAAAAACAAGACAAAUAAACAAACAAACAAAACUCCCCUAAAACCCACC
rnacentral:lncRNA from 1 species